rnacentral:rRNA from 1 species
GGAGGAAAAGAACUAACAAGGAUUCCCCUAGUAACUGCGAGUGAAGCGGGAAAAGCUCAAAUUUAAAAUCUGAUAGUCUUUGGCUGUCCGAGUUGUAAUCUAGAGAAGUGCUGCCCGCGCUGGACCGUGUACAAGUCUCCUGGGAUGGAGCGUCAUAGAGGGUGAGAAUCCCGUCUCUGACACGGACUACCAGGGCUUUGUGGUACGCUCUCAAAGAGUCGAGUUGUUUGGGAAUGCAGCUCAAAAUGGGUGGUAAAUUCCAUCUAAAGCUAAAUAUUGGCGAGAGACCGAUAGCGAACAAGUACCGUGAGGGAAAGAUGAAAAGAACUUUGGAAAGAGAGUUAAACAGUACGUGAAAUUGCUGAAAGGGAAACGCUUGAAGUCAGUCACGUUGGCCGGGGAUCAGCCUCGCUCUUUUGCGUGGUGUACUUCCUGGUUGACGGGUCAGCAUCAAUUUUGACCGCUGGAAAAAGACUUGAGGAAUGUGGCAGCUCCGGCUGUGUUAUAGCUUCUUGUCAUAUACAGUGGUUGGGAUUGAGGAACUCAGCACGCCGCAAGGCCGGGUUUCGACCACGUUCGUGCUUAGGAUGCUGGCAUAAUGGCUUUA